GAUUAGAUGGCUGAAGUUUAAGCAGUAGAUUGUAAAUCUAUAUAUGAAAGUUAAUUUCUUUAAUCA
rnacentral:tRNA from 1 species